rnacentral:rRNA from 1 species
AGCGAACGCUGGCGGCAGGCCUAAUACAUGCAAGUCGAACGGCCCUUCGGGGCAGUGGCGGACGGGUGAGUAACACGUGGGAACGUGCCCUUUGGUACGGAACAACUGAGGGAAACUUCAGCUAAUACCGUAUGUGCCCUUCGGGGGAAAGAUUUAUCGCCAUUGGAGCGGCCCGCGUUGGAUUAGCUAGUUGGUGGGGUAAAGGCCCACCAAGGCUACGAUCCAUAGCUGGUCUUAGAGGAUGAUCAGCCACACUGGGACUGAGACACGGCCCAGACUCCUACGGGAGGCAGCAGUAGGGAAUCUUGCGCAAUGGGCGAAAGCCUGACGCAGCCAUGCCGCGUGAAUGAUGAAGGUCUUAGGAUUGUAAAAUUCUUUCACCGGGGAAGAUAAUGACGGUACCCGGAGAAGAAGCCCCGGCUAACUUCGUGCCAGCCGCCGCCGUAAGAC